rnacentral:rRNA from 1 species
CCUACGGGAGGCAGCAGUGGGGAAUAUUGCACAAUGGGGGAAACCCUGAUGCAGCGACGCCGCGUGAGCGAUGAAGUAUUUCGGUAUGUAAAGCUCUAUCAGCAGGGAAGAAAAUGACGGUACCUGACUAAGAAGCCCCGGCUAACUACGUGCCAGUAGCCGCGGGAAUACGUAGGGGGCAAGCGUUAUCCGGAUUUACUGGGUGUAAAGGGCGCGUAGACGGUCCUGCAAGCCAGCUGGGAAAGCCCGGGGCUCAACCCCGGGACUGCAUUUGGAACUGUAAGGCUAGAGUGUCGGAGAGGCAGGCGGAAUUCCUAGUGUAGCGGUGAAAUGCGUAGAUAUUAGGAGGAACACCAGUGGCGAAGGCGGCCUGCUGGACGAUGACUGACGUUGAGGCUCGAAAGCGUGGGGAGCAAACAGGAUUAGAUACCCUAGUAGUC